rnacentral:rRNA from 1 species
AUUGAACGCUGGCGGCAUGCCUUACACAUGCAAGUCGAGCGGCAGCACGGGUGCUUGCACCUGGUGGCGAGUGGCGAACGGGUGAGUAAUACAUCGGAACGUACCUUAUCGUGGGGGAUAACGCAGCGAAAGCUGUGCUAAUACCGCAUACGCCCUGAGGGGGAAAGCGGGGGAGCGCAAGACCUCGCGCGAUUAGAGCGGCCGAUGCCUGAUUAGCUUGUUGGUGGGGUAAAAGCCCACCAAGGCGACGAUCAGUAGCUGGUCGGAGAGGACGAUCAGCCACACUGGGACUGAGACACGGCCCAGACUCCUACGGGAGGCAGCAGUGGGGAAUUUUGGACAAUGGGGGCAACCCUGAUCCAGCAAUGCCGCGUGAGUGAAGAAGGCCUUCGGGUUGUAAAGCUCUUUUGUCAGGGAAGAAACACCGGCUCUAACACAGUCCGGGAAUGACGGUACCUGAAGAAUAAGCACCGGCUAACUACGUGCCAGCAGCCGCCGUAA